CCUACGGGAGGCAGCAGUGGGGAAUAUUGCACAAUGGGGGAAACCCUGAUGCAGCGACGCCGCGUGAGUGAAGAAGUAUUUCGGUAUGUAAAGCUCUAUCAGCAGGGAAGAAAAAAGACGGUACCUGACUAAGAAGCCCCGGCUAACUACGUGCCAGCAGCCGCGGUAAUACGUAGGGGGCAAGCGUUAUCCGGAUUUACUGGGUGUAAAGGGAGCGUAGACGGCGCGGCAAGUCUGAAGUGAAAGGCAGGGGCUUAACCCCUGAACUGCUUUGGAAACUGCCAUGCUAGAGUGCUGGAGAGGUAAGUGGAAUUCCUAGUGUAGCGGUGAAAUGCGUAGAUAUUAGGAGGAACACCAGUGGCGAAGGCGGCUUACUGGACAGUAACUGACGUUGAGGCUCGAAAGCGUGGGGAGCAAACAGGAUUAGAUACCCUUGUAGUC
rnacentral:rRNA from 1 species